AAUCAUAUGAUUGCCACGUUAUGUGCAUUUCGGAAUUUGUUGCUCCGUUCAAUGUGUGUAUUGUCGCGUAUCGCUGAAUCGUUUUUAUCACAUUUCACCGAGUUCACGUUCUUUUUUUUUAAAUAAAAAUUCAAUCCUAUCUUUUUUUUCGGGUGAAAAAAGAAUUUAUCUCUCAAAUAGAAAUAGUUGAAUAAUAAUCCGCUUUGAAGCGACUGAGAGCCAUCGAAUGCGGGACUUUACCAAUCCGAUAGUUUUGUGAAUUUGAAUGAAAUAAAGUGUUUUGUUUUUUCUCUCUCCGCUUUGAAUGAGUUCAUUUUGUCAUUGACGUUCGAAAAUUGUUGGGUCAUUUUGAUCACAGCUUUCUCGCGAUUUGAAUUGUGGCACGUUUGCAUUCAAGAAAAUUACAUUUACUCCGCGCAAAGUGUGUUGGUGUUGUUUUCAAAAAGCAAAACUGGAUUAAAUAAAAAGGCGACAGUUGCUUUACAAUUAGUUCAAUCAACAGAGUGCUUUUAAAUCAUCCAUUUGUUAAAUUUCGUCCUGGUAUUUGAUUAGACUGUGUGCGUAGUUGCGAUGGCUGAAAAUGGUGGUCCCAGUGCCGGGGAAAUUGUCGAUGAUGAAGAGGAAAAAUACAACUAUUACGAAUGUAAGUAGCACUUAGUUUAGUUCGUGCAUCCAUCUGCCAAUCAAUUUGCAUAAGAAAGAAGAAAGAAAAUGCAAACAAAAAUCCAAAAUGAGGUUCCGUCAGAGUGAGUUGCCAGCGAAUGUCUUCAUUAAGAAGUAAAUCUUAUAAACUUGUUUAUAUCGACGCAAUGUGGAAAAGUGUAAACACAAUAUCGCUUACUCAAUAAUUCGCUACAUCAUAAGUAUGAAUAUUGAUUUCGUUGCUUGGCAAUUUUAAUCAAAUCGAAAUUCACAGCGAAUGCAAAUCGUUGCAUCUUGUGCCAACCAAACUACGUAUUAUUAUAGACAUGCUGAUUGCAGAAACUGAGAAGUAAGAACGCAAUCAAGUUUUCUCCAUGGAAGUCAGAGAUCUCGACGUGAGUGUGUGUGCGCUAGUAUAGUAUGUGCGCCGAUGGUAAACAAAAAUACAACCAGCAGCGAUGCAAACAGUAUUAUUGCAAAUCGAACUACUGUUUAAACUCCUUCAUUCGCCGUUUUUUUUUCUCUUCUCUUCACGGUUCGACGUGGCGAAGAAGUUUUCAAAUUGAAGCGAAGUCACAAAGUCAGAGAUGAGAGGAGACACCGAGAGUGUAACAACGUCAUUCAAAUACAAUUUAUCCUUCUUCGAUCGCAAUUUCAUGCUGUUUGCUCUGCAUGCAAACUGCUCUGUUUGUUACAAUGACUUUUAAGCAGCAACUAACUGUGAACACAACGCAGUCAUAAUAUUUUUCCCUACUUUUUUCGUCUUUCGCUUGAGUCUUUCACAGAAACCGUUUCUGUUUGCAUUGAAAUACAUGCUCAUGGUAAAAGACCAGAAUAACUUUUCUAUUGUGCAAUGAUUUUCAAUUCAGACGACAUGAAUUUUUUUAAAAAAAUAUGAAUCAAAGAACAUUUGGUUAAACAAAGGACAUUGAAUUGAAAGUUAAAUAAAAUAACGGAUUCAAUAAACGCUGGGUUUUUACCUCCGAAGUUAUCCAAUUGACAAGUAUCGAUUUCCGAAAAAGAAACAUUGAAACAAACUUGUGCCGUGUUGAAAUUUCAUCAGAAGCGAUUCUUGCACACAGCCCACAGGCAUCGAUGAAAGUUUUACGGAAAUGGCUUUCGAAAUGAAGUUUGCAUUGCAAACGGGGGAAAUAUAAGACCUGAAUUGCUGGUUGUCGAUAAACUUGCAGAAAAAUAGACUGUUGCAAUCGAUUCAGAACGGGUGUGACCAUUACAGCGUUACCUUUACAUUUUAGGCCUACACCAAAACCAGACGCCAAACCGCCCAUCAUGCAACCAACAUUGAACAACUACCACCACUAAUGCUCACCAAUCAUGAACACACAGGAUAUCCAACUGAGUUCGAGUUUGUUUUGAUUGCAAAUAGCUUACUCAAAGCAACUUAAAUAACUCCCGAAAAAAAAAACUGUUUUUCCUCCGUUCAAUUGAAUACAUCGCAAUUUGCCAGUUGAUUUAUUGUUUCAAACUGCUAUUUUUUAUUUGAUUUCCUUCCUAAAUUAAUAUUCAUUUCGUUAAUAAUUUUCCGAAGAAUUUUCGGAUUUUUUUUCAAACCCAAUUUGAAAGUAUCAUUAAAAGAACUCUCCAUAAUUUUCAAGAAAAAAAAAACUCAUUGUGAAUCUUAAAAUCGGUUUGGUUUUUAGGCCAAAUUUCGUUCGAUAAGCUCUACAUCUGCAACCACACAACGGGCCGUCGAUUGAUUUGUGAGCAGCAAAUGGCAAAAAGCAUUCGAAUUUUCAAUAUUCGGUAAAAUCGAAUUAAUGACUAAUGAGGUUAAAAAUUUGCCGAUGGUUAAUGGAAUUCAAAGUCAAGCGCUUCAGCUCAUCGUUUGAUGUCUGUAUCUGGUAUUUACUGUAUUUACUUUUAUUCUGGUUGCUUCUAUUUUUAAGUUCAGCCAACGAUAGCACAUAAUAAAAAGAAUUUCAAUUCAAAAUACUCGACCAAAUAUCGUGUUUAAUUCCAUUUCGAUGCGUUUUCGUUGUUUUAUCCGCUGCCUUUUCCAUUAUGUGUGCUAGUUUCUUGGAAAGUGCGAGAGAACGACUCAAAUCCACUCAAAUUACUACGGAUUAUGGUGAUUAUCGCAUCGUUUGAUUCAUGUUUCAUUCAGUCGGUUCGUGCUUAUGGUAUUUUCGCUUCUUUUGCCCAUGUCCAUUUGUAUUUUGGUUUUCGUUCUUGGCCUGAGUAUGUGUGUAUGUUCUUUGGCUCAAAAAUUUUCCAUACACAUAUCGAAGCGAACAAGUGUAUUGCUACAGACAAACAACUUGUUGCAUCCUCUUACAAACAUUGCCACACAACAACAAGAGAGGUAACAUGAUACGGCCACCAUUGCUGUUCUCGUUCACACUCAUUCUCACACUUGAUAUGUCGCUGGGUAAAAUGUACACGCUAUAAAUAUUCCGGCACAUGUAAUCAGAUCCAAUAAUCGCAACGAAAUUGAAAUAUGAGUUCCAGAGCUUCGCACACUUCGCCAAAAGUUGCACAAAGUGACACUUUCGAAAGCGAAAACCACAAUACGUACGGGAUACAGACCAGCCAUGUUCUGAUUGCAUGCAACCUGUGAUAGUUGGCAACGGCAACAAAGCAAUUCUUUUCUACGAAUGAAUCGACAUUUGGUCGAAAGGCGUGCUAAGUUCAUGGAAUAGUGGUGUUCGAUAAGUGUACAAAUAACUAAAAAAUGUCUUAAAAUCCCAAAGUAAUUUCACAAAAUGAAAUGCUUAUGAGUAGAGGUUCGAAAUUGCCUCACAACAAAAGUCAUGCGAUACGUCUGGAGUGUAACAUCAUUUUGUGAUUGAAAAGGCAUUUGCAAGCAUUGCGCUCAGUUUCUCUCAAUUUGUCCCGAUGAAACAGUGGUAAAUUUGCUGAACUCUCUUUGUCUCUCCGCAACGCUGUGAUAUUCUGAGCCACAUCGUGCAACGUGUAUGCGACACAGGGCACUAAUACACGCACGCUCAAUUGCGAUAGGGGGUGUUUUUUUCUGCACAGCUUUUCAACACAGCUGUUAGUGACGUUAUCCGCAGCGAGAGAUGGUCUGUGGCGCGCGCGAAAGCUUUUCGACUCUCUCCCCUUCGUCGCGCUCUCUCACGUCUUGAUGUUGCCAAUUCAAACUGCUGCUGCGUUGAACUGCGAACAUGCCAUAAAGCGUCUUCGUCGAAAGCUAUCUCUCCGAUUGGAGAAUGGCAGUGUGACUUUAUCCAAUUUUACCAUUGGUGUGUAGUCUUCGUCGUGGUCUCAACUGUUAAUGACGGUUACGGUUCUAAAUAGAAAACAAAGACAAAUCGCGCACAUCAAAUCCCUCAUUUCUGGUUCAAAUGAACGUUAAACGUGCUAACAACCAAAUCCAUUUGACUCAGUGAACAUUUGAUUCAUUGCUGUGCAAUCUCAAUAAAACCGUGUAUUUGAAAGAAAGACAUUUAAUUGGGAAAAGAAAAAGUUCAUUCUUUGAAUUAAAAGUUACCAAAUUGGACAUUUGAAAUUAACUUUUGUUUCAUUCAUGUGAAAAGUUCCGUGAUUUGUGCUACAAACUCUAAAAAAUUUGUUCAACCAUACUCCUGAAUGCGAACAUAUGUUUGCGCGAAAUCAAAUCCAAAGAAAAUAGGACAACGGCAGCGACGACAAUAAAAACUAUAAAGUGAAUGCACUACAUUAAAAUAAGCGACGAGAAGCAGCGAAACAAAUUUAAUAUAAACAAAUAUACUUAAAGUGUUGUGUUUGGCAAACAAAUAAAACUUGAACAAACAUUGCUACCAGUAAACAAUAGCGCCAAUAAUUUUCGGUGCGAUCCAAUAAAUAUCUGUGUUCGGUGUGCUUCGAAAAGAUAAAGGAAGCCUGCAACACACCAAUAUCGAAUCGAAAGAACGAGAAAUUGAGAAAGUUUUUGGCUAGGAAAAUUAAAAGAGCUUAACAGGAUUUUGAGUGAACAGCAGCAGGUUGCGCAAAGUGCUUCAAAAAUUGUUUAUUCACUAACCCCAAUAACAUUGUAUCGAAGCUCAUAGCUGGGUGCCAGCCAGGCUGAUUUACUCCAGAUUCAGAAUGGCGAUACUUGGAUUUGGGACAGCAUUUGCACCGC